rnacentral:rRNA from 1 species
CAGUAGGGAAUCUUCCACAAUGGGCGCAAGCCUGAUGGAGCAACACCGCGUGAGUGAAGAAGGGUUUCGGCUCGUAAAGCUCUGUUGUUAAAGAAGAACACGUAUGAGAGUAACUGUUCAUACGUUGACGGUAUUUAACCAGAAAGUCACGGCUAACUACGUGCCAGCAGCCGCGGUAAUACGUAGGUGGCAAGCGUUAUCCGGAUUUAUUGGGCGUAAAGAGAGUGCAGGCGGUUUUCUAAGUCUGAUGUGAAAGCCUUCGGCUUAACCGGAGAAGUGCAUCGGAAACUGGAUAACUUGAGUGCAGAAGAGGGUAGUGGAACUCCAUGUGUAGCGGUGGAAUGCGUAGAUAUAUGGAAGAACACCAGUGGCGAAGGCGGCUACCUGGUCUGCAACUGACGCUGAGACUCAAAAGCAUGGGUAGCGAACAGGAUUAGAUACCCUGGUAG